rnacentral:rRNA from 1 species
AACGAACGCUGGCGGCAUGCCUAACACAUGCAAGUCGAACGAGACCUUCGGGUCUAGUGGCGCACGGGUGCGUAACGCGUGGGAACCUGCCCUUAGGUUCGGAAUAACUCCCCGAAAGGGGUGCUAAUACCGGAUAAUGUCUUCGGACCAAAGAUUUAUCGCCUUUGGAUGGGCCCGCGUUGGAUUAGCUAGUUGGUAGGGUAAAAGCCUACCAAGGCGACGAUCCAUAGCUGGUCUGAGAGGAUGAUCAGCCACACUGGGACUGAGACACGGACCAGACUACUACGGGAGGCAGCAGUGGGGAAUAUUGGAAAAUGGGAGAAAGCCUGAUCCAGCAAUGACGCGUGAGUGAUGAAGGCCUUAGGGUUGUAAAGCUCUUUUACCCGGGAUGAUAAUGACAGUACCGGGAGAAUAAGCUCCGGCUAACUCCGUG